rnacentral:rRNA from 1 species
AAUGAACGCUGGCGGCGUGCCUAACACAUGCAAGUCGGAUGUGCCGCAAGGUGCAUGGCCGACGGGUGAGUAACGCGUAGGGAAUCUACCUUUUUGUGGGGAAUAACGCUCCGAAAGGAGUGGUAAUACCGCAUGAGACCGUGAGCUGGGAUGUUCACGGUGAAACCUGGGGACCGCAAGGCCUGGGGCAAAACGAGGAUCCUGCGUCUGAUUAGCUAGUUGGCGGGGUAAUGGCCCACCAAGGCGACGAUCAGUAGCCGGCCUGAGAGGGUGAUCGGCCACACUGGAACUGAGACACGGUCCAGACUCCUACGGGAGGCAGCAGUGGGGAAUUUUGCGCAAUGGACGAAAGUCUGACGCAGCAACGCCGCGUGGGUGAUGAAGGUCUUCGGACUGUAAAACCCUGUCGUCAGGGACGAAGGUGGCAGUGUUAAUAGCGCUGUUACUUGACGGUACCUGGAGAGGAAGCCCCGGCUAACUCUGUG